rnacentral:ncRNA from 2 species
CCCCGUCCGUUGGGGUGCCGAAAGGCUGAGAGGUGCGCGUGCGCGCCAACCCAUCGAACCUGAUCCGGGUCAUGCCGGCGAAGGGAACGGUCUUCCGCUUGCA